GACGAACGCUGGCGGCGUGCCUAAUACAUGCAAGUCGAACGAAACUUUCUUACACCGAAUGCUUGCAUUCACCGUAAGAAGUUGAGUGGCGGACGGGUGAGUAACACGUGGGUAACCUGCCUAAAAGAAGGGGAUAACACUUGGAAACAGGUGCUAAUACCGUAUAUCUCUAAGGAUCGCAUGAUACUUAGAUGAAAGAUGGUUCUGCUAUCGCUUUUAGAUGGACCCGCGGCGUAUUAACUAGUUGGUGGGGUAACGGCCUACCAAGGUAAUGAUACGUAGCCGAACUGAGAGGUUGAUCGGCCACAUUGGGACUGAGACACGGCCCAAACUCCUACGGGAGGCAGCAGUAGGGAAUCUUCCACAAUGGACGCAAGUCUGAUGGAGCAACGCCGCGUGAGUGAAGAAGGUCUUCGGAUCGUAAAACUCUGUUGUUAGAGAAGAACACGAGUGAGAGUAACUGUUCAUUCGAUGACGGUAUCUAACCAGCAAGUCACGGCUAACUACGUGCCAGCAGCCGCGGUAAUACGUAGGUGGCAAGCGUUGUCCGGAUUUAUUGGGCGUAAAGGGAACGCAGGCGGUCUUUUAAGUCUGAUGUGAAAGCCUUCGGCUUAACCGGAGUAGUGCAUUGGAAACUGGAAGACUUGAGUGCAGAAGAGGAGAGUGGAACUCCAUGUGUAGCGGUGAAAUGCGUAGAUAUAUGGAAGAACACCAGUGGCGAAAGCGGCUCUCUGGUCUGUAACUGACGCUGAGGUUCGAAAGCGUGGGUAGCAAACAGGAUUAGAUACCCUGAUAGUCCACGCCGUAAACGAUGAAUGCUAGGUGUUGGAGGGUUUCCGCCCUUCAGUGCCGCAGCUAACGCAAUAAGCA
rnacentral:rRNA from 1 species